rnacentral:rRNA from 1 species
AGCGAACGCUGGCGGCAGGCUUAACACAUGCAAGUCGAGCGGGCAUCUUCGGAUGUCAGCGGCAGACGGGUGAGUAACACGUGGGAACGUACCCUUCGGUUCGGAACAACUCUGGGAAACUGGAGCUAAUACCGGAUACGCCUUUAUGGGGAAAGGUUUACUGCCGAAGGAUCGGCCCGCGUCUGAUUAGCUAGUUGGUGGGGUAACGGCCUACCAAGGCGACGAUCAGUAGCUGGUCUGAGAGGAUGAUCAGCCACACUGGGACUGAGACACGGCCCAGACUCCUACGGGAAGCAGCAGUGGGGAAUAUUGGACAAUGGGCGCAAGCCUGAUCCAGCCAUGCCGCGUGAGUGAUGAAGGCCUUAGGGUUGUAAAGCUCUUUUGUCCGGGACGAUAAUGACGGUACCGGAAGAAUAAGCCCCGGCUAACUUCGUG